UCGAGGAUCUUCCGCAAUGGGCGCAAGCCUGACGGAGCGACGCCGCGUGGGGGAGGAAGGCCUUCGGGUUGUAAACCCCUGUCACCUGUUAUGAAUCGCCCGUCGUGAACAAUGCCGGGCGUGACAAAGGCAGGAAAGGAAGCCACGGCUAACUACGUGCCAGCAGCCGCGGUAAGACGUAGGUGGCCAGCGUUGUUCGGAAUCACUGGGCAUAAAGCGCACGUAGGCGGCUUUCAAAGUCGGGUGUAAAAUCCCUCGGCUCAACCGAGGAACUGCGCCCGAAACUAGGAGGCUUGAGGUUCGGAGGGGAAGGUGGAAUUCCCGGUGGAGCGGUGAAAUGCGUAGAGAUCGGGAAGAACGCCGGCGGCGAAAGCGACCUUCUGGCCGGAAUCUGACGCUGAGGUGCGAAAGCUAGGGGAGCAAACGGGAUUAGAUACCCCGGUAGUCCUAGCCGUAAACGAUGGGUGCGUAGGUAGUGGUCGUUCCUAUGCGGUCACUGCU
rnacentral:rRNA from 1 species